GACGAACGCUGGCGGCGUGCUUAACACAUGCAAGUCGAACGGAAAGGCCCUGCUUUUGUGGGGUGCUCGAGUGGCGAACGGGUGAGUAACACGUGAGUAACCUGCCCUUGACUUUGGGAUAACUUCAGGAAACUGGGUCUAAUACCGGAUAGGAGCUCCUGCUGCAUGGUGGGGGUUGGAAAGUUUCGGCGGUUAGGGAUGGACUCGCGGCUUAUCAGCUUGUUGGUGGGGUAGUGGCUUACCAAGGCUUUGACGGGUAGCCGGCCUGAGAGGGUGACCGGCCACAUUGGGACUGAGAUACGGCCCAGACUCCUACGGGAGGCAGCAGUGGGGAAUAUUGCACAAUGGGCGGAAGCCUGAUGCAGCAACGCCGCGUGCGGGAUGACGGCCUUCGUGUUGUAAACCGCUUUCGCCUGUGACGAAGCGUGAGUGACGGUAAUGGGUAAAGAAGCACCGGCUAACUACGUG
rnacentral:rRNA from 1 species